UGACGGAGCAUGCCGCGUGGAGGACGAAGGCCUGUGGGUUGUAAACUCCUUUUCUCAGAAAAGAAUUUAUGACGGUAUCUGAGGAAUAAGCAUCGGCUAACUCCGUGCCAGCAGCCGCGGUAAUACGGAGGAUGCAAGCGUUAUCCGGAAUGAUUGGGCGUAAAGCGUCUGUAGGUGGGUUGUAAAGUCUUCUGUUAAAGAUCGGGGCUUAACCCAGUUUAAGCAGUGGAAACUUAUAACCUAGAGUACGGUAGGGGCAGAGGGAAUUCCCGGUGUAGCGGUGAAAUGCGUAGAUAUCGGGAAGAACACCGACGGCGAAAGCACUCUGCUGGGCCGAAACUGACACUGAGAGACGAAAGCUAGGGGAGCAAAAGGGAUUAGAUACCCCUGUAGUCCUAGCCGUAAACGAUGGAUACUAAGUGCUGUGCGUCUGGUUUGCUUUGUUUACUUUAGCUUCUGUUAGAGUAAACAAAACAAAGUAGAAAAAAAACGUCCAGUAUUGUAGCUAACGCGUGAAGUAUCCCGCCUGGGGAGUAUGCUCGCAAGAGUGAAACUCAAAGGAAUUGACGG
rnacentral:rRNA from 1 species